CUUGCUCCCACAUAUGAGGUCCAGCCUGCCCAGUGACAUUGUUCAACGGCCGCGGUAUCCUAACCGUGCGAAGGUAGCGUAAUCACUUGUUCUUUAAAUAAGGACUAGUAUGAAAGGCACCACGAGAGUCAUACUGUCUCCUUUCUCUAAUCAGUGAAACUGAUCUCCCCGUGAAGAAGCGGGGAUAAAAAUAUAAGACGAGAAGACCCUAUGGAGCUUAAAACAAAUAACACUUGCCCCCCCCCAAUUUCUAAUUUCAGAAAAAUUUUCUACCCGGGCAUCAUGGUUAUUAGUUUUCGGUUGGGGUGACCACGGAGUAAAAAGCAACCUCCGCAACGAAAGACACUCAUCCACUUAGUUAAGGGCCACAACCCCACACAUCAACAAAUUGACACUAAUUGACCCAACAUGUUGAUCAAUGAAC
rnacentral:rRNA from 1 species